rnacentral:rRNA from 1 species
GCGCAGCAGGCGAGAAACCUCCGCAAUGCGGGAAACCGCGACGGGGGGACCCCGAGUGCCGUGGCAACGCCACGGCUUUUCCGGAGUGUAAAAAAGCUCCGGGAAUAAGGGCUGGGCAAGGCCGGUGGCAGCCGCCGCGGUAAUACCGGCGGCCCGAGUGGUGGCCGCUAUUAUUGGGCCUAAAGCGUCCGUAGCCGGGCCCGUAAGUCCCUGGCGAAAUCCCACGGCUCAACCGUGGGGCUUGCUGGGGAUACUGCGGGUCUUGGGACCGGGAGAGGCGGGGGGUACCCCUGGGGUAGGGGUGAAAUCCUAUAAUCCCAGGGGGACCGCCAGUGGCGAAGGCGCCCCGCUGGAACGGGUCCGACGGUGAGGGACGAAGGCCAGGGGAGCAAACCGGAUUAGAUACCCGCGUAGUC